rnacentral:rRNA from 1 species
GGGCUCGCACAAGCGGUGGAACAUGGGGUUUAAUUCGACAAUAAGCGGAGAACCUCACCAAGGUUUGACAUCUACGGAAUCUCGCGUAAUGGCGAGAGUGCCCUUCGGGGAGCCGUAAGACAGGUGCUGCACGGUCGUCGUCAGCUCGUGGCAUGAGUUGUUCCGUUAAGUCGGGAAACGAGCGCAACCCCUAUCGUCUGUUAAAUUUCUCAGACGAGACUGCCCUCGCAAGAGGGAGGAAGGUGGGGAUGACGUCAGAUCAGCGUGGCCUUUAUACCUUGGGCUACACCCGUGUUACAAUGGCUGGUACAGUGGGUUGCAAUAUCGCGAGAUGGAGCUAAUCCCCAAAACCAGUCCAAGUUCGGAUUGGAGUCUGCAAUUCGACUCCAUGAAGUUGGAAUCGCUAGUAACCGUGGAUCAGAACGCCACGGUGAAUACGUUCUCGAGCCUU